CGCGGCCGCGCUGCUUCCCCCGCGCCUCGCUUUCCUCGCAGAUGCGCGGCAAGCCCUUCCUGAGCAUCUGGGGUGCCCGGCGUCGGGUCCGCAGCCCCCACGUAGCCGACAACAUCCCUGAUGCUCUUGGACUCACGUUGGGGGGAGGGGAGCAGUAAUCAAUGAACAAUAAUCAAACAGAUAUGGUGUCAGACACCGAAGGUGGUGCGGCGAGGGUUAUGCAUUCGGGGCAGGACAAUGUACUGAGGGGAUGAUGCGGUGAAUUCAGUCACCAAAUCAGGCAGCAGCGGGAUGCCCCUCUGUCCUGGUGCUGACAGCCUGGAAUCCAGACGUUUGGGGCAAAAGAUCUUUGAGCAGAGACCUGAACAAAAACGGAGGCGUUUCUGGGAAUGAAAGCUACCAGGAAGGAAGCGUUGGCAAGGGUUGAGCGAACUAGCAUGUGCUGUUCUCAAGUUUCCAAACUGCGUAUUAUAAGCAUGUGUUACUUUAUGAAUAGGAAAAAUGUUUGUUUUAAAAGAGAGAGAGAACGCGCUUAGGUAAUCAAGGGCAGAGGGAGAGAGGGCGAGGCAGGCCACACCCCGCGGGGACCCCAUCCCACACGCCCUGAGACCACGACCUGAGCCAAAAUGAAGCGUCCCCCGCUCAGUCCACUGAGCCACCCCGACACCCGCGGGGGGGAAUGUAUUUUACAUGUGAAACCGUGUGUACGACAAAAGCAGCAUCGCAAGCGGGGAGAAAAAGACGGGCGUCACAAGCAGCGACGGUGAGUUACUUCAGUCACAUGCAAAACACUGGAUUCCGACCCUAAACGAACUGACGCAGGAAAUGCCCUCCGAAAGAGAGAAAGCAAAUCGCUGUAAGCGUUUACAGGCAGGAAAUGUGGCAACAGCGACG